GAUAAACGCUGGCGGCGCACAUAAGACAUGCAAGUUGAACGGACUUAAUCGAAAUAUUUAUAUUUUGAAGCGGUUAGUGGCGGACUGGUGAGUAACGCGUAAGGAACCUGCCUAUUAGAGGGGAAUAACAGUGAGAAAUCAUUGCUAAUACCGCAUAUGCCAUAGAUAUCACAUGAUAACAGUGGGAAAGGAGCAAUCCGCUAAUAGAUGGCCUUGCGUCUGAUUAGAUAGUUGGUGGGGUAACGGCCUACCAAGUCGACGAUCAGUAGCCGGACUGAGAGGUUGAACGGCCACAUGGGGACUGAGAUACGGCCCAGACUCCUACGGGAGACAGCAGUCGGGAAUAUUGCGCAAUGGAGGAAACUCUGACGCAGUGACGCCGCGUAUAGGAAGAAGGUUUUCGGAUUGUAAACUAUUGUCGUUAGGGAAGAGAAAGGACAGUACCUAAGGAGGAAGCUCCGGCUAACUACGUG
rnacentral:rRNA from 1 species